rnacentral:rRNA from 1 species
UUAACGGAGCGAAAGCGACGUUCAACCGCAAAAGAAGCAGAGGGGGCUUAGUGGUGGGGUGACUGCGUACCUUUUGUAUAAUGGGUCAGCGACUUAUAUUCUGUAGCAAGGUUAACCGAAUAGGGGAGCCGGAGGGAAACCGAGUCUUAACCGGGCGUUAAGUUGCAGGGUAUAGACCCGAAACCCGGUGAUCUAGCCAUGGGCAGGUUGAAGGUUGGGUAACACUAACUGGAGGACCGAACCGACUAAUGUUGAAAAAUUAGCGGAUGACCUGUGGCUGGGGGUGAAAGGCCAAUCAAACCGGGAGAUAGCUGGUUCUCCCCGAAAGCUAUUUAGGUAGCGCCUCGUGAAUUCAUCUCCGGGGGUAGAGCACUGUUUCGGCUAGGGGGCCAUCCCGGCUUACCAACCCGAUGCAAACUGCGAAUACCGGAGAAUGUUAUCACGGGAGACACACGGCGGGUGCUAACGUCCGUCGUGAAGAGGGAAACAACCCAGACCGCCAGCUAAGGUCCCAAAGUCAUGGUUAAGUGGGAAACGAUGUGGGAAGGCCCAGACAGCCAGGAUGUUGGCUUAGAAGCAGCCAUCAUUUAAAGAAAGCGUAAUAGCUCACUGGUCGAGUCGGCCUGCGCGGAAGAUGUAACGGGGCUAAACCAUGCACCGAAGCUGCGGCAGCGACGCUUAUGCGU